UACGGAGGGAACUAGCGUUGUUCGGAAUUACUGGGCGUAAAGCGCACGUAGGCGGCUUUGUAAGUUAGAGGUGAAAGCCUGGGGCUCAACCCCAGAAUUGCCUUUAAGACUGCAUCGCUUGAAUCCGGGAGAGGUGAGUGGAAUUCCGAGUGUAGAGGUGAAAUUCGUAGAUAUUCGGAAGAACACCAGUGGCGAAGGCGGCUCACUGGACCGGUAUUGACGCUGAGGUGCGAAAGCGUGGGGAGCAAACAGG
rnacentral:rRNA from 1 species